ensembl:lncRNA
GCUAAAAUUGCCCACUUUAUGACCUCUUUGGUCCAUGUAGGCUAUAUUUAUGGUUGCUUUCAGUAGUUCUCUGAUUGAAAGCAAGGAUCGUUCAUGUUUAUAAUAUUUAUAUGAACAACAAAGCACACAGACACUCACAUGAUGUCCAUUUUAUUAUCAAUUUAAAUGACGCAUAAAAUUACAAUUUAAAAGAGUAACUAUGAGGAACGGCACAUACUGUAAUGCAGAUCUCUGCUUUAAAGGUUUGAGCUUUGAUAUAUUUCCAAUACAGAAUGAUAAAAGACCACAUGACGAGUUGUUUGGAUUAUUAUAAUGUUUAGUAUUUUGUUUACUUCAGAAGCGAUUAUCCUUAAAAGUUAGUCGAUAGUUGAGUUUUCUUUCAGGUGCAGGAUUCAUAUAAAAGCAGAGGUCUGUAGAAUGUCCUCGUUUAGGCAGCGAGGCGUGUGUGUGUGUGUGUGUGUGCGUGCGUGCGUGUGAUCGCUGGGUGGAGCAGCAGUGUAAGGCAGGUCUCGUCUCUCAUUGCGGCGGCUGGAGAUCCAUCGAGCGGCGGCGGAACGUCGCUCCGGCGUCCGUGUGCGUGAAGAGCAGGUGGAGGAGGAUGAUGAUGAUGAUGAUGGAGGAAUCCGACAGCAUCCCCUGCACCGCGGAGGACGGACUCCUGUCGAGCUGGAGAUGGAACAGAACCGCCAGGGAUCAGGUCCAGAUCAAGCAGAAGAUCCGAGAUCUGCCCGGAUUGUUAAAGCACGGACUCAACCUGCGCAAAAAGAGCCAGUCACCUGACACCAUCCCAGGACCCAGCACAGGGGUCACACCCAAACCCAAGGUAAGAAAGUGCAACCUAACGCUGAUACGUGAGGAGCUGGUACAGUUUGCCCCGCCCUGAAUAUUAUUGACUUCAUCCUAUAUGAAAGACAAAUAACUCAUCCCAAGUGUUUCUCCUAAGACAACAAAUGGAGGCUUUUUGCUUAAAGUUCCUACUUUAGAGUUUCAGAUGAUGUGUUUCAAGCUGUGCUCAGCCUUUCUCUUGCGAUUCAUCUCAUCUCAUUAGAAUCUCUGAAGCUCCUUUAAUCCGCGUAUGAGCUCUGCUAACAGCUAAUCACCCAUGUGUGCAAAAGUACAUACAUUAGAUAUGGGAUCAAACACAAUGUCAGGAUCCCCAGAAUCCCCUCUAAAGGCUCUUCUGCUUUCUGUUUCAUAGAUCAUCACAUAACAAUGAACAAAAUGAUGAUUAUCGCUGACUAGAGAUUAUGAUCUUUAUCUUAUUCUUUCAAUGACCCCAAAAUGUAUUACAGCAAUAAGCCACGAGAGAAUGAGCAUUACGCUGUGAUCUAUCCAGCCACGAUUUAAUCUGAAAGCAUAAAUCCAAUCAGAUGUUUGAUGUAGAGUUUUGACCAAUGAGAUUCCACUGUGGGCGGGGCUAUAGCAAAGCCAGAUCCCUAUAAAUUUAGUUACUGAGAUAAAAUGAAUGCAAUGCACAGCUUAUUGCUUUAAUAAAGUUCAGUAAAUGUUCAGUAAACAGCUAGAUUAGAUAAGAGUAUUAAUAAUAAUAAUCUAAAUGUUUUUUCAUCCAAUUCAGUUCAUAUGAUUUUAAUGCUUUUAAGAUUUCUUGAAUCAGGAGACUCAUAUUAGAUGUGGACAUUUGGUGUUGGGAGCUUUUAAUUUGGACAAGUCAGCGCCCACCUAACAACCUCCUAGUUCACCUUAGCAACAACCUAACAAUGCCCUAGCAACUACCUUGCAAUACCCAGCAAUCAUCUAGAACACUUUAGCAACCAACUAACAAUCACCUAGUUCACCCUAGCAACCACUUAGCAAUGCUCUAACUUCCACCUACUGUAGAACAUUCUAGAAUCACCUUAGCAACAACCCAGCAAUGCCCUAACAACCACAAAGAUCACUCUAUAUCAACACCUUAGCAACCACCUAGCAAUGCCCUAACUUCCACUUACUGUAGAACAUUCUAGAAUCACCUUAGCAACAACCUAACAAUGCUCUAACUUCCACUUACUGUAGAACAUUCUAGAACCACCUUAGCAACAACCUAGCAAUGGCCUAACAACCCCCUAGAACUCCUUAGUAACCACUUGGUGAUGCCCUUACAACCACCCACUGAAGAACGCUCUAGCAACACCUUAGCAACAACCUAGCAAUGCCCUAACAACCACCAAGAACACUCUAUAUCAGCACCUUAGCAACCACCCAACAAUGCCCUAGCAACUACCUUGCAAUGCCCAGCAAUCAUCUAGAACACUUUAGCAACCAACUAAAAGUCACCUAGUUCACCUUAGCAACCACCUAGCAAUGCCCUAACUUCCACCUACUGUAGAACAUUCUAGAAUCACCUUAGCAACAACCUAGCAAUGCCCUAAAAAAGCCCUAGAACUACUUAGUAACCACUUGGCGAUGCCCUAACAACCGCCCUCUGUAGAACACUCUAGCAACACCUUAGCAACAACCUAGAAAUGACAUAACAACCACUUAGAACACCUUAGAACACAGUCACCUAGUAUAGAACACUAGUGACCUAGCAACAAACUAGCAAUGCCCUAGCAACACCUUAGCAACCACCUAGCAAUGCCCUAAUAACCUCUUAGAGCUCCUUAGCAACUACCUAGUAUAGAACACUUUAGCAAUGCCUUAGCAACAACCUAGCAACCACUCAUAACACCUUAGCAACCACUUAGCAAUGCCCUAACAACCACUCUCUCUAGAACACUCUAGCAAUGCCUUAGGAACAACCUAGCAAUGCCCUAACAACCAGCUAGUAUAGAACACUCUUAUCAGCGCCCUAUCAACAAACUAGUUAAGCCCUAGCAACUAUCCUGCAACACCUUAGCAACACCCAAGCAAUCACCUAGAACUAGGAAUGUAACGAUACACCUUGAGC